rnacentral:lncRNA from 1 species
AGAGCCUGGGACCUUGCCAUCUACUAUUGGCAAAACUGCACAAGUUUGGGGCAGAGUGCAUUCUUCCAAGUUCUUGACUACUUGGCUGCUCAAUCUGGAAAAUUUUCAGGCACAGGCGCUAAGGUAAAAAUUUUUUGCACAAGCUUGAUACAAAAUCACAGAAGAUCAUUCCAUCACUCCUAGAGGAAACACAAGGAAAAGCUACAAAGAUUAACACACUAAAACCUAUCUGCAAGUUAACAACUUUGAUCUCUGCAAGCAACUGCUUGCUAUAUUCAAUAAGGAAUCGUUUGGUUGGUUCCUUAAUUAAGAUUUGCUUAUUCCCAUUUGCACACAACAAAAUCGACCCAAUCUUUCCUUUGGUCUUUCAAGCUUAUAAGCUUCAUCAUUCCCCUGCAUCACUUUUCCUCAAUCCUCAGUCUGUCAAUUAUUACAACUGAUUUUGUCAUUUUAUACCCUUUUUUAGCAAAUUUUAUUACCCAUUAUCAAGCAAAAACCACGCAUACAGAAACAGAGUAUGGACAGUUCAACAUGUAAUCAAUCACGAUUAUAAUAUACAAAACAAAAAUAAAGCUAUCAACGAGAAUACUAACGCCAUACUACUAAACAACCUUGCAGAAGGCAAGCAAGUAUGAACCAAGCGCACCUCCAGUACCGGGUCUAAGUGAAUCGCCCUCAAUGAGCAAGCACAGGAACGGCAAGUGGCCGCCAAGACCACCACAGCAGCCCGGGAGCGC